GUCCUGUCUCUUAAAGUCUGAUAAUUGGUAGAUUCCUUUAGAUUUUGUAUGUAGACAUUUGUCAUCUGCAAAUAGGGACAGUUUACUCUUGUCCUUUCCAUCAGAGUGGCUUCUCUUUCUCUUUCUUGAAUAAUUUUACUGGCUAGAAUUUCCAGUCCUCUGUUGAAUACAAGUUGUGAGCACAACAUCUUUCCUGGCAAGUGUCAUUAAGGAGGUGUCACCUACAGGUUGUCAUCUAUGUAAGCAAAUGCUCUUCAUCCAGAUGAGGAUGUCUCUUUAUUCUUAGUUUCUUAGAGGUUUGUUUCUUUUUUAAGUCAUGCAUGGGUGUCAUGCAUGGGUGUUAGCUUUUGUCAGAUGCUUCUUCUCUGUCCCUGAAAUCAUCAUUUCCUUCUUUAUUCUACUGCCACGGUAAGUUAUACUUCACAAUCUUUGAUUGUUGAAUAAUCCACUCGCUCAUAGUGUCUAAUUGUGUUUACAUAUUGCUGAAUUUGGUUUGCUCAAAUCUGUAUUUCUCACAAAUUCUCUUUGGUAACUUCUGUGAUCAGGUCACAUCAGGAAAUAGUAGGGUGUCUUGUGUGUGUGUUGCAGUCCUGGUCUCUGCCUGGUGGCACAAGCCUACUUGGUAGCAAACAGAGGCCUCCUAGAUUCAGGCUAGAAGGUUUGGUUUUGUCGAUUCUUCCUUUGUAGCAAUAUUGCCCACAACCACCCAGCACCAGCUUUGUCCAGGCUCUUACUUCAUCCUGUGUCCAUCAGAUGACCAUUCAGAAGUCACAGCCAAAAAAGGAUAAGUUGGGAGAUUAUAAAUUAAACCUUUUGCUUUAAUUCUGCACUGUAUUUUCAUUGGGUAAUUUAUUGAGUCAAAAAUGAAUGAUUUGUUGGAUCUCAAGUGACACUGUUGUUUUCUCUGAGGAUUGUGAAGCUGAAUUAGAUACAGAUCAACCCCUGUCUCUAUUCUUGUAUUAGUUAACUUAUUCACACAGUCACAAGCAUUGUGAACCCAUAGUGUGCCAAGAACGCCUGAGGACGCUGGGUUACAGCAGUAUAGAAAUCAACACGCAUGUUCUCACGGAACUGCCAUGUGGAGUAGUGUGUGCAUGUGACGGGAGCUGGCCUUUAGUGGCUGUGGUACAUGUGUACUUGACUGUUCAGACUGCAACACACCAUUUUAAAUGUAACCAGAGGAGUAGUGUCUGGUGACUCUGAAAGCUUGGUGUAUGAAAAACUGCAUUCAGUUUAGAGUUGAACUUCUUGGGAAAGAUGUCUUUUGAGUUAACGCUUGAAG
rnacentral:lncRNA from 1 species